rnacentral:rRNA from 1 species
GAUGAACGCUAGCUAUAGGCUUAACACAUGCAAGUCGAGGGACCGGCGCACGGGUGAGUAACGCGUAUCCAACCUGCACAGAACUAAGGGAUAACCCAGCGCAAGUUGGACUACUACCUUAUGGUUAUGGAUGGGGAUGCGUCUGAUUAGCUUGUUGGCGGGGUAACGCCCCACCAAGGCAACGAUCCGGAGGGGUUAUGAGAGGAAGGGCCCCUGCAAUGGAGCUGAGGCACAGUCCAAACUCGUACGGGGGGGAGCAGUGAGUAGUAUAGGUGGAUGGACGCUAAUCUGAAACAGCCGAGUGGCUUGCAGGAUGACGGCCUAUGAGUUGUAAACUGCUUGUGUAUGGGGAUAGGUACCAUAUGAAUAAGGACCGGCUAAUUCCGUGCCAGCAGCCGCGGUAAUUC